rnacentral:lncRNA from 1 species
ACACAUGCUCGCUAGGAUAUCACAUCCUAUGCAUACGUAUCUCCUUUGGACGAAGGAGAAUCAGAGCAUUCGUAGCUCGGCUAACACGCACACAAACAAACACAGGCAAAGGCAAACGUGGAGCCUGAAUGCCAAUCACUGGACUUACAUCAGCAUCCGAACCAAAACACACACAAGAAGGCAAACGUGGAGCCCGAAUGCCAAUCACUGGACUUACAUCAGCAUCCGAA